GGGACAUUCUGAUGGUUACCAGGUCAACAUGAACAGUGGGUUAAUAUGGAUCUUUGGAGCCUGUCUGUCGGUGUGUCUGUGGAGAGCCUGUCAAUGUAAUUGCCCCUAUCAAACCUAUUUGGAAAAUAUGGUAGUUAAACUGCCGAAAAACUAUUUGUUCUUUGUGAAGAUAGAGGAUAAAUCAUGUUCCAGAAGUGUCCAAGAUGCCCUUCACUUGCUCUACUGCCAAAACCAAUCCUUAUUCAACGAUUCAGUCUUUUAUCUACUGUCACAGUGCUUUAAUGUAACGAAAUCUGAUCUGUACUGUAAUGACACAUGCACCACAUUUGACAUGGACGCGGACAUCUACCCUGUGGAAGACUUCACGUGUUUGGUUAAAAAGUCGAUUAAUGAUUCAGAAAAUUGUACCUACCAUAGUUUUGUUUCUUUAAAAACAUGCUUAUACCCUACGCAAGAGGCAUCCCCACAAACACCUGGAUUGAAUUGUAGACCAGUCUCACAGAAACCAUCACCUUCAUCAGUAGCAGCAACUGCAGCCCCAAUAACAUCAUCAUUUACAUUGUCAGCAACAUCAGACCGCAGCAACACAGGCACACGAUGGCAGCCAAGAGAGGUCUCAGUCUGGACAUGUUUGACUGUCUCCUUGACAGUUAAUGUCAUUGUUCUCCUCUGUUUGGUCCACCAGUGGACCAGAGCGAGACGCUAGGAGGCCCUAGCAGGUGUCUUAACCUUUGUGCUGAUGUCCUCUUGAGUUGGGGGCUUCCUCUUGGGAUGGAGCCUUCUCUUGGUUGAUGUGCAGAUUUGAGGGAGGUUCGACAGGGUCUGCAUCAGUAUCUUUUGUCUCGCGGGGGAAUGUGCAAUACCUUUGUUUCUUUAUGGGAGAUGCCAGCACUACUGUGAGGGGGGCGUGAUCACACACCAUUGGCUGCAGACUUGUGACAUUUCUGAACUGGUGUGAUUGUGUUUUGUCUCUCUUUGCAAGUGAUAACACUGUUAAUUGUGCAAUAGAGUUUUCCUCCGUCUUACCUACCAUUUUGGUAACUGUAUGUUGUGACUUGUGAAUUACCAUCAUAGGACACUCCUUUAUGUAUUCUCACCUUUGGAGCUCAUCCAGCCAUGUUGGGCUGAGUCCACCUGGAAAGUCUGUUGCUCUUAGUGGUUCCCGGCGGCCCACAAGCUGUGAUUCCAGAGAGUGUCCAUCUGCACAACGGUUCUCAUUGGAUUCUACUGAUUCGGUGAGACUUGGUGUCCCUGUGACUUAGACGUGCAGGUCUGGCCGCUAUGGGGGCUUCUUUCUUGGGCCUUUGAGCAAGGAGCUGGUUUGGCUCCCAUUUCUGGCAACUAUGGGGCUGUGAGGGUGACCCACAGGGUGUUAUAUAUUGACAUAUAUUUCAUGCCUAUCAUUUUUUAAACACAUACUAAUAUAUGUAUUAUAUGUAUUAAUAAUGUAUGGCCAUAUUUCAUACAUAUAUUUAAAAUUAUAGUUGUUAAUAUGCAUUUAGCAUUUACAUCUAACUGAUAUAUAUGUAUGUAUAUAAUCCAGAAUCCAGACACUCAUUAGAGGCUAUAGGAAGCGUCUAGAGAAUGUUAUUUUUGCAAAAGGAGGUUCUACUAAAUAUUGAUGUGAUUUUUCAGUUGGGAUGCCCAAAUGUAUGCACCUGUCUAAUUUCACUUUUAUGCAUAUUGCACAUUUUCUGUUCAUCCAAUAAACCUAAUUUCACUACUGAAAUAUUACUGUGUCCAUCUGUUAAUUGAUAGAUCAAAAUGAAAUUGCUGAUCCAAACACCCAAUUAUUUAUAAAUGAAAAUCAUGGAAAUUGUCAGGGGUGCCCAAACUUUUUCAUACGACUGUAUACACACACAAUACUAUAUAUAUUCUGUAUUUUUAUUGUUUCUUGUCAUGUGUUUAUUAUGUUAUCUAGUUGUUUCUUUUAAGUAUUUUUACAGAGAGGAAUGGCAUUCAUGAUACUGUGUUAAAAUGUAUGCAUAUAGUUUUCAUAAUGAGUCUUCUUUGAAAUGUAAACUUGGAGUACAAAGUGGUUCAUUAUACUGAAACUGAAAAAGGACCAUAUGCUGCAAAAGUCAAAACUUUGGUGAAUUUCCUAAACAUGUAUUGAUAUAUUGUGACACAAUAGCA
ensembl:lncRNA